CCUACGGGAGGCUGCAGUCGAGAAUCUUGGUCAAUGCACGAAAGUGUGAACCAGCGACGCCGCGUGAAGGAUGAAGGCCCUUGGGUCGUAAACUUCUUUUAUGGGAGAAGCGGUAUCCCGUGAAUAAGCCACGGCUAACUACGUGCCAGCAGCCGCGGUAAUACGUAGGUGGCAAGCGUUGUCCGGAUUUACUGGGCGUAAAGCGAACGCAGGCGGACCUUUAAGUAGGAAGUGAAAGGUUGGAGCUCAACUCUAACACUGCUCCCUAUACUGGAGGUCUUGAGUGCCGGAGAGGAGAACGGAACAAGUUGUGUAGCGGUGAAAUGCGUUGAUAUAACUUGGAACACCAAUGGCGAAAGCAGUUCUCUGGACGAACUGACGCUCAGGUUCGAAAGCCAAGGUAGCAAACAGGAUUAGAUACCCUAGUAGUC
rnacentral:rRNA from 1 species